UACGUAGGUGGCAAGCGUUGUCCGGAAUUAUUGGGCGUAAAGCGCGCGCAGGCGGUCCUUUAAGUCUGAUGUGAAAGCCCACGGCUCAACCGUGGAGGGUCAUUGGAAACUGGGGGGACUUGAGUGCAGAAGAGGAGAGCGGAAUUCCACGUGUAGCGGUGAAAAUGCGUAGAGAUGUGGAGGAACACCAGUGGCGAAGGCGGCUCUCUGGUCUGUAACUGACGCUGAGGCGCGAAAAGCGUGGGGAGCAAAACAGGAUUAGAUACCCCCCGUAGUCC
rnacentral:rRNA from 1 species